rnacentral:rRNA from 1 species
UACGAAGGGGGCUAGCGUUGCUCGGAAUCACUGGGCGUAAAGCGCACGUAGGCGGCUUGUUCAGUCAGGGGUGAAAUCCUGGAGCUCAACUCCAGAACUGCCUUUGAUACUGGCGAGCUUGAGUCCGGGAGAGGUGAGUGGAACUGCGAGUGUAGAGGUGAAAUUCGUAGAUAUUCGCAAGAACACCAGUGGCGAAGGCGGCUCACUGGCCCGGUACUGACGCUGAGGUGCGAAAGCGUGGGGAGCAAACAGG